GACGAACGCUGGCGGCGUGCUUAACACAUGCAAGUCGACCGAUGAACCUCUUCGGGAGGGGAUUAGUGGCGAACGGGUGAGUAACACGUGGGCAAUCUGCCCUUCACUCUGGGACAAGCCCUGGAAACGGGGUCUAAUACCGGAUACGACACGGGGUCGCAUGACCUCCGUGUGGAAAGCUCCGGCGGUGAAGGAUGAGCCCGCGGCCUAUCAGCUUGUUGGUGGGGUGAUGGCCUACCAAGGCGACGACGGGUAGCCGGCCUGAGAGGGCGACCGGCCACACUGGGACUGAGACACGGCCCAGACUCCUACGGGAGGCAGCAGUGGGGAAUAUUGCACAAUGGGCGAAAGCCUGAUGCAGCGACGCCGCGUGAGGGAUGACGGCCUUCGGGUUGUAAACCUCUUUCAGCAGGGAAGAAGCGAGAGUGACGGUACCUGCAGAAGAAGCGCCGGCUAACUACGUGC
rnacentral:rRNA from 1 species